GACAGAGGGUGCGAACGUCGCUCGGAAUUACUGGGCGUAAAGCGCGUGUAGGCGGUUUCGCAAGUUCGGUGUGAAAGCCCGGGGCUCAACCCCGGAAGUGCACUGAAUACUACGGAGCUGGAGUCCUGAAGAGGAGAGCGGAAUUCCCGGUGUAGAGGUGAAAUUCGUAGAUAUCGGGAGGAACACCAGUGGCGAAGGCGGCUCUCUGGACAGGUACUGACGCUGAGACGCGAAAGCGUGGGUAGCAAACAGG
rnacentral:rRNA from 1 species